CGUGGGGGGUUAGGGUAAUGGGGGGAGCGAUCCAGGGCGCUUGCUUAUAGCACUGUGUUGGCUCAUAUGUUGAGCUCUUGUUUUGUGAAAUAAAGAGCCGGUUACCAAACCCA